rnacentral:rRNA from 1 species
AUUGAACGCUGGCGGCACGCCUAACACAUGCAAGUCGAGCGGUAGCAUGGUUAGUAGCAAUACUAACUGAUGACGAGCGGCGGACGGGUGAGGAACACGUAGGAACCUGCCCAAGAGAGGGGGAUAACUAAGGGAAACUUUAGCUAAUACCGCAUAAUUCUCUGAGGAGAAAAGUUGCCCGUAAGGGUAGCGCUUUUGGAGGGGCCUGCGUCCGAUUAGUUAGUUGGUGAGGUAAUGGCUCACCAAGACUGUGAUCGGUAACUGGUCUGAGAGGACGACCAGUCACACUGGGACUGAGACACGGCCCAGACUCCUACGGGAGGCAGCAGUGGGGAAUCUUGGACAAUGGGGGCAACCCUGAUCCAGCGAUGCCGCGUGGGUGAAGAAGGCCUUCGGGUUGUAAAGCCCUUUAGGCUGGGAAGAAGUUUAUGGGAUGAAUAAUCCUGUAAAUUGACGGUACCAGCAGAAUAAGCACCGGCAAACUCUGUGCCAGCAGCCGCCGUAA